GAGAUAUUGUAAGAUGCCCGCAAGCCAUCAUCAUUGCUUUCAGACGUUGAAGCAAACAUACUGUGCACGGUGCUCUUCCAGCUUUGAUGGUUUCAUGGAGUCAUUGCCCAAAACUUUGUUGCAUAAAAUGCAUGUGGGCAACCGUUUGUCUGCCUGUGAUGGAAGAAAACCAAAUUUUAAAUAUUCAACACUAUACUGACGACACUUCUUCUUAGAUUCGGUCAUGUUUCGUAUCAAUUACCAAUCUGCAAUGUAAACAAUAAAUAAAAAACCGAACAAUCAAA